GUCUUCGUGGUGUAGUGGACAGCGCACUCGACUCGUAACCGAGAGGUCCGUGAUUCGAUUCCCGGCGAUGGCA
rnacentral:tRNA from 1 species